rnacentral:tRNA from 1 species
AGGCUAUUAGCUCAAAUGGUAGAGCAAUGUGCAAUAGUGUACAUGGUGUGGGUUCAAGUCCUACAUAGCCUA